rnacentral:ribozyme from 1 species
UUUUUUUGAUUUGUUGUUCUUUCUUCUUUCUUCUUUCUUCUUGUUUGUGCGAAAUA